CGGCGGGUCAGUUGCAGCGGGCUACCUGUCUACAGUUGUGCCUUUGACAUUUGAGCUGUUGGUAAUCUUCUAAACUGACUGCGCCAUGGAAGAAGAUGGAAGUGCUUUUUCAGGCAUGGACCAAUCAACAGUUGCAGUAUUGAAAGAAGAUGCCCUCAGAUUGAGAUCCAUCAGCAACCCCUGACAACAUAGAGAACUCGUCCCCUGAGCAUUUCCUGUCCUCUCUUGAUGGAGUUCUUCUCUUUAGUCAUUAACUCUUGAAAUCAGCAGCACAAAAUGCCAGACUGUUUGACAAGUCUGUGAUUGAAUAAAUUGAAAUGGAAUCUCA